UUUUUUACACCAGAUUUUCAACCUUUUAUCCCUAAAAUCCCCAGUUUUAACCCCCAAAUCCCCCUCUUUAAACUCCAAAACUGCUAUUUCUGACCACAAAAAUCCCCAUGUUUAACCCCAAAUUCUCAGUUUUUAACCAAAAUCCCAACUUUUGACCCCUUAUUGCUGGACAUUUUUGUACUCAUUUUUUUUUUUCCUUUAUCCCAGUAUGGGAACUGUCAGGUCCCAGCCUGAGCCGGUGAUUGUGCACCUGGUGAGGGGUGUAGCCAGCCUUGCCAGCACAGGUGGGAGCCGUUCACCUGUGGGAUGCAGCCAGGCUCCACCCCUCCCUGGGCUCAUUUAAGGGCUGGCAGCUGUAAGGGCAGCAUCUGUACCUGGAGGCUGCUUCCUUUGGAGUGUGGAAUGAGCCCUGGUUCUUGGAAAGCUAUCCCUGCAGCUGUGGGACCCGAUGGUGUGACAAAGCGAGGCCUCUGGUCUGCUGAACACUGGGACCAGCACAGAGAGGCCCUGUGACCAUUGUGGAUCGUACCGAGAGCUGCACUCGGUGAGGUUUCCCAGAGCUGAUCAGCACGUGGAAUUUCCCACCUGCCCCAACUGUGCCCUGAUCUCCAAACUCCUGUGCAUCGUCGUGUCUCACAGCCCCAGGCAUCUCGCUGUGGUGCUGCUGGUGGCAGCAAGGAACUGUGGUGCUCCUGGGCGGUGCCAGAACUGCAUGGAGAUCUGUGGCUCUUCAUGAAGUCAGCAAGAAAUGGAAAGCUACAUUUCCUAGAAUGCCCUGGAACCUGACUUUGCUGACUGGUAACUCACUACCCAUAUGGGUAAGGGCAAUGUACACCUACCAGCGUUUACCCAUUCCGUAGCGUGGCUCCACCUAAUGCUGCCAGAGCUCGUUACUGUGCUUAAAGGUUCCCUACAGGCUGCUGGUCCUCUUCCUCCUGCGUUCUCCUUGCCUCUGGCCUGUCUAAUCUAAUCCAGACAAGUUACCAUAAGGGUGCAACUCAGAGUGCAGUACAACUCAGAACCCAUUGAGACCCUGCACUUGCAGGCCCUACACCUACACUGUAGUGCUGCUGCUCCCACCCCUGUCCCUCUCGUCUCCUGGGCACCAUUUCUAAACUAGCUCUGCAGCUCUGGAACUUGAUGCUUUGAAGAAGGAAGGCCCUCAGACUCAACUCAGUUGACUGGCUGCCCUGAUAG